AACGAACGCUGGCGGCGCGCUUAACACAUGCAAGUCGAACGAGAAGGCGUAGCAAUACGCUUGUACAGUGGCGAACGGGUGAGUAAUACGUGGGCGACCUACCCUCGAGUGGGGAAUAACCCGCCGAAAGGCGGGCGUAAUGCCGCGUACGCUUCCAUCUUUAUAGGAGGGUGGAAGGAAAGCCGUGCCGUGGGCACGGCGCUCAAGGAUGGGCUCACGUCCUAUCAGCUUGGGUUUGGGUAACGGCCUACCAAAGGCUCCGACGGGUA
rnacentral:rRNA from 1 species